AGCGAACGCUGGCGGCGUGCCUAACACAUGCAAGUCGAACGUGAACGGGGGCAACCCCUAGUAAAGUGGCGUACGGGUGAGUAACACGUAGGUAAUCUACCCUAGAGUCUGGAAUAACCGGCCGAAAGGCUGGCUAAUACUGGAUAGAGCGACGGAAUCCGUAAUUGGGUUUUUCGGGAAAGGGAGGGAGCAAUCCCCUUCGCUUUAGGAUGAGCCUGCGUCCCAUCAGCUAGUUGGUAAGGUAAUGGCUUACCAAGGCUAUGACGGGUAGCUGGUCUGAGAGGAUGAUCAGCCACACUGGAACUGAAACACGGUCCAGACUCCUACGGGAGGCAGCAGUGGGGAAUCUUGCGCAAUGGACGAAAGUCUGACGCAGCCACGCCGCGUGAGUGAAGAAGGCCUUCGGGUUGUAAAGCUCUGUCGGAAGGGACGAAAAUGCUUGAGGUGAAUAGCCUCAGGAACUGACGGUACCUUCAAAGGAAGCACCGGCUAACUCUGUGCCAGCAGCCGCCGUAAGAC
rnacentral:rRNA from 1 species